AUUGAACGCUGGCGGCAGGCUUAACACAUGCAAGUCGAACGAGUGGCGGACGGGUGAGUAAUGUCUGGGAAACUGCCUGAUGGAGGGGGAUAACUACUGGAAACGGUAGCUAAUACCGCAUACCAUCGGAUGUGCCCAGAUGGGAUUAGCUUGUUGGUGGGGUAACGGCUCACCAAGGCGCCGAUCCGUAACGGGUCGGAGAGGAUGAUGAGUAACAGUGGGACUGAGAGACGGUCCAGGCUCCUAAGGAAGGCAGCAGUGAGGAAUAUGGGACAAAGGGCGAAAGCGUGAUACAGGCAUGGCGCGUGUGUGAAACAGAUCUUCGGAUUGUAAAGCAGUUAAAAUGGGAAGACGGUACCAGCAGAAUAAGCACCGGCUAACUGCGUGCCAGCAGCCGCGGUAAUUC
rnacentral:rRNA from 1 species